rnacentral:rRNA from 1 species
UGUCGGACGGGUGAGUAACGCGUGGGUAACCUGCCUUAUACAGGGGGAUAACAGUCAGAAAUGGCUGCUAAUACCGCAUAAGCGCACAGAGCUGCAAGGCUCAGUGUGAAAAACUCCGGUGGUAUAAGAUGGACCCGCGUUGGAUUAGCUUGUUGGCGGGGUAACGGCCCACCAAGGCGACGAUCCAUAGCCGGCCUGAGAGGGUGAACGGCCACAUUGGGACUGAGACACGGCCCAGACUCCUACGGGAGGCAGCAU